CACGGGGGGAGCAAGCGUUGUUCGGAAUCACUGGGCGUAAAGGGCGUGUAGGCGGUCAAGUAAGUGGAAUGUGAAAGCCCCCGGCUUACCCGGGGAUCUGCAUCCCAAACUGCUUGGCUUGAGUACGGGAGAGGAUAGGGGAAUUCCUGGUGUAGCGGUGAAAUGCGUAGAUAUCAGGAGGAACACCGGUGGCGAAGGCGGGUCUCUGGGCCACUACUGACGCUGAGGAGCGAAAGCGUGGGGAGCAAACAGG
rnacentral:rRNA from 1 species